ensembl:lncRNA
GUUAGCAUGGCUAUUAGUUAUGACUCCGCAUUUCUGUUGCUAUAAGUUGUGUAUUUUAGGUAUCUGUAUUGGUUUGAUCUCAUUUUUGUUUGUCUUUUGCUCUUUGUUACAGUUUUACAGUACAAUAAGAAAAGUAAAGUUUCUUCGUGGAACUCAAGAAAAGUUAUGCCUUGUGUUCUUUUUUGAAGAACUGUUACACUGUUAGCUAACUGUCGUGCUUUGAAGAAGCAACUCAUUGCAAGGACAGUAUAGUAAAAGGACAAGCACAAGGCAGGCACAAUUGAACAAGGUUAUUACCAGCCAUCUUUACAGAAUGGGAGUGUGAAAAAAACAGCAAGAAGCUACUCAAAGUGCUGAUGCAUGUGCAAAGUCAGUACAGUCACUUGCUUCAAGACAGUCAAGUGGAGCUUCCACAGCUAGUUUCUCAGCGAUAAAAGCUCGGGCUAAGGCAGAGGCUGCCCGUGCUGAACUUCUCUUUGCAGAAGAAGAAGCUAGAAUUAUAAAGCAAUAGCUGACCUUGAAGCGAGUCUCCAUAUAUUAAAAAGUCAGAAGGCUGUUGAUGCUGCAACAGCUGAAGCAGCUGCAUAUGAAGAAGAUAAGUCUAUCAAGAGUGAACUUAGUCCAGAGUUAUUAGAGUUCCCUAUCAGUUCAGCUCAACGCACCUCUGAAUAUGUCAGGAAACACACAAUCUGGGGAAUUUCCAUUGAAGGUUGAUCCACUAGUCUGCCACAAGGUGGCGUGUGCGCAGUGUGAAAUGGCCAUGAAGGACGCAGAUACUCAUCAUUGAGAAAAACCGGAAUGUUGAAAGCAGAAAAGCUCAUGUCAAACAACCACAACGAAAAAAGGAAGUUGACAAUAAACUUUACUACCCGGAACCUGCAAGAGAGUCAUUUCAUCCUCAAAGGAAGCCUUUAUCCGAGACACAAGGUGUGCAAGAUGUAACAAAAUACCUUAUUCGCAGAGAAAUGUUGAGUGCAGGUCUCCUGAAAUUUGACGACCACCCUGAGAAUUACUGGGCAUGGAAGGCAUCAUUCCAAAGUGCCAUCCAAGAUCUAAACCUUUCAUCGAGGGAAGAACUGGAUUUGAUAACAAAAUGGCUUGGUGAGGAGUCUGCAGAGUAGGCAAAGAGGAUUCGCUCUGUGCAUGUGUUCAACCCAACAGCAGCACUCGACUUAGUCUGGCAAAGACUAGAAGAAUGUUAUGGGUCAUCAGAAGCAGUAGAACAUGCUCUGCUGAAAAAGGUUGAAGAUUUCCCUAAACUCACCAACAAAGAUAAUGUCAGGCUAAGGGAGUUAGGUGACAUUCUUCAGGAGAUAGAGUGUGCAAAAGUAGGAGGAUAUUUACCUGGCUUGUCAUAUUUGGACACAGCUCGUGGAGUAAAUCCCAUCGUGGAGAAAUUACCUUACAGCUUGCAAGGGAAAUGGGUAGCCACAGGAUCCAAAUAUAAGGAUUACAAUGGAGUCGCAUUUCCACCUUUUUGUUUCUUCUCCAGCUUUGUAAGACAACAGGUACGAGUGAAAAAGGAUCCCAGUUUUGCCUUUACAUCCUCCAGCACCCAAGGCUUGAAAAUUGAGAAAUACACAAGAAGUGGCAACAGAGCUUCUGUGACUGUGCACAAAACAGAUGUUCCACAAGAUUCUAUGACUAUCCAGUGUAGCUCUGGUGAGAAGAUUAUGGAAAGUCCUGAUAAGCUAUGUCCCAUUCAUAAAAAGCCCCACCCGCUAAAAAAAUGCAGGAGCUUCAGAGCUAAACAUAUUGACGAAAGAAAAUCAUUCCUGAAGGAGAAUCGUAUUUGUUUCAGAUGUUGUGGGUCAGUACAGCAUAUGGCAAAAGACUGCAGAGUGACACUUAAAUGUCUGGAGUGUAACAGUGAGAAACACGUUUCAGCGCUACAUCCUGGUCCUCCUCCCACUACAACAGGGAGCCAAGAAGCCUACAAAGAUGAUUGCGGGGAGGUGAGUGUAAAUGUUUUGACACCAGUGACAUCCAAAUGCACAGAGAUAUGCGGCAAUUCAGAUGGUCAACAUUCCUGCUCCAAAAUCAGUCAAGUGAUAGUGUAUCCUGCUGGAAAAAGAGAGGAAGGAAAGAAAAUGUACGUGGUGUUAGACGAACAGAGUAAUAAGUCGCUCGCUAAAUCAGAAUUCUUUCAUCUUUUUAACAUCUGCCUAGGAACAACUCACAAGCCAGCAAGCGUUAAUGUCCUGAAAACACGUGCUCAGUAAAGGCCGCACAUCUUUUCUUAGCCCAUGCCCAAACAAAAUCUUGGUUAAGGAGACUCUCAGUCAGUCAUCACAUCUCGGCUGUUCUCCAGCCUCUUGUACACAGGAAGAGUUCCUUAGUGGUAGUAUAGACAUGUUGGGAUCUGCUGUUUUUGAAAGAACCAGGG